GCCUGUCGCUUGGAGACGGAGUGACUCCAAACGGGCUCACACGGUUUUCUGAGAAACAUAAAGGGAAACCGAAUCCACCAAUAUAUAUAUAUAUUUUCUUGAGACGGCGUCUCGCUCUGUCACCCAGGCUGGAGUGCAGUGGCGUGAUCUCGGCUCACUGCAAACUCCGCCUCCCGGGUUGACGCCAUUCUUCUGCCUCAGCCUCCCGAGUAGCUGGGACUACAGGCGCCCGCCGCCACGCCCGGCUAAUUUUUUUGUAUUUUAGUAGAGACGGGGAGUCACCGUGUUGCCCAGGCUGGUCGCGAACUCCUGAGCUCAGGCAAUCCGCCCGCCUUGGCCUCCCAAAGUGCUAGGAUUACAGGCGUGAGCCACCGCGCCCGGCCCACCAAUACUCAAUUGGUUUGACUUCAGUUGAGGAAACCAGAAAAAAUUUAAAUAUAUUUAUGGAAAGAAGCUAUUGGGAGAGUGGCUGAGUACUGAGUCUAUCACUACUUGGAUGAUACAGCUUCUGUCUUCAAGAUAAGCAGAAUUGUUCAGAAUCCACUGGAAUCCAAAUUCAACUUGGGCCUCAAUUUCUGCAGAUGGACACCUCUGGACUCCAAAAAAUCCAAGGACAUAAAAAACUUAAGCAGCCUUUAUUACAUUUAGUUCAACAAGUUUAAAGUGUAGGUCACUUUCCACUUUUGUUUACUUGAUGCUUAAUUUUACUGGAAUCGUUAAAAGAAAUAUACUUGCAAUUUUUUUAAAAAGGUAUCUAUUUCUGAGGCCAGUCUUGGUGUCUAGAGUUUUCAAGGUAGUAUUAAUGACAGCACGUAGAACCUCAAAGCUCAUUUGUCGGUGAAAAUGCUGUGCUAAGCCUGGCAGAAGUCUGCUCCCACACUCAGAAUCACCAUAAAUGUGCAACAUCACCAGAAAGUGCUGGUGUGCUGGGCACUGGGCAUUGGAGUUGGGGAUGGCUGCCCCAGCCUCUGUACACGACACCUGGCCUGGUGGAUCCAGAGUUAGUCUUGCUGCCCAGCUGCCACUCCAGCCACUCCCUAGACACAAUUUUAAAUUGUCAGAUAUACCUUUAGUAAAGCUGAAAAAACAAUUCCAGAGGAAUUAAAAGGAGGAAAAUUUUCUAUUUAUUAAAUAGCAUAAAGAUACCCUUCUGUCUUCAAGAUAAGCAGAAUUGUUCAGAAUCCACUGGAAUCCAAAUUCAACUUGGGCCUCAAUUUCUGCAGAUGGACACCUCUGGACUCCAAAAAAUCCAAGGACAUAAAAAACUUAAGCAGCCUUUAUUACAUUUAGUUCAACAAGUUUAAAGUGUAGGUCACUUUCCACUUUUGUUUACUUGAUGCUUAAUUUUACUGGAAUCGUUAAAAGAAAUAUACUUGCAAUUUUUUUAAAAAGGUAUCUAUUUCUGAGGCCAGUCUUGGUGUCUAGAGUUUUCAAGGUAGUAUUAAUGACAGCACGUAGAACCUCAAAGCUCAUUUGUCGGUGAAAAUGCUGUGCUAAGCCUGGCAGAAGUCUGCUCCCACACUCAGAAUCACCAUAAAUGUGCAACAUCACCAGAAAGUGCUGGUGUGCUGGGCACUGGGCAUUGGAGUUGGGGAUGGCUGCCCCAGCCUCUGUACACGACACCUGGCCUGGUGGAUCCAGAGUUAGUCUUGCUGCCCAGCUGCCACUCCAGCCACUCCCUAGACACAAUUUUAAAUUGUCAGAUAUACCUUUAGUAAAGCUGAAAAAACAAUUCCAGAGGAAUUAAAAGGAGGAAAAUUUUCUAUUUAUUAAAUAGCAUAAAGAUACCAAAA
rnacentral:lncRNA from 1 species